CUACGGGCCGCUGCAGUGGGGAAUAUUGGACAAUGGGGGAAACCCUGAUCCAGCAAUGCCGCGUGUGUGAAGAAGGCCUGCGGGUUGUAAAGCACUUUCGGUUGGGAGGACUGCUUCUAGCACUAAUAUUGUUGGAAGUUGACGUUACCUUCAGAAGAAGCACCGGCUAACUCCGUGCCAGCAGCCGCGGUAAUAGCGGAGGGUGCAAGCGUUAAUCGGAAUUACUGGGCGUAAAGCGCGCGUAGGCGGCUAGAUCAGUCGGGUGUGAAAGCCCCGGGCUUAACCUGGGAACUGCAUCCGAUACUGUCUAGCUUGAGUACAGGAGAGGAGAGUGGAAUUCCACAUGUAGCGGUGAAAUGCGUAGAUAUGUGGAGGAACACCAAUGGCGAAGGCAGCUCUCUGGCCUGAUACUGACGCUGAGGUGCGAAAGCGUGGGGAUCAAACAGGAUUAGAUACCCUCGUAGUC
rnacentral:rRNA from 1 species